GGCUCAGGAUGAACGCUGGCGGUAUGCCUUACACAUGCAAGUCGAACGGAAAUUAGCUUCGGUUAAUUUUAGUGGCGGACGGGUGAGUAACACGUGAGAAUUCGCCUUUAGGAGGGGGUUAACGGAUGGAAACAUUCGCUAAAACCCCAUAUGCCCCUGGGUGAAACAGAGGAGAUAAGUAAUACUGACUCACCUCUGCCUGAAGAGAAGCUCGCGGCUGAUUAGCUAGUUGGUAGGGUAAAGGCCUACCAAGGCGACGAUCAGUAGCUGGUCUGAGAGGACGAUCAGCCACACUGGAACUGAGACACGGUCCAGACUCCUACGGGAGGCAGCAGUGAGGAAUUUUCUGCAAUGGGCGAAAGCCUGACAGAGCAAUACCGCGUGAGGGAUGAAGACUUACUGAGUUGUAAACCUCGGUGCCUUAAGGAAGAAGAUCUGACGGUACUUAAGGUGGAAAGCAUCGGCUAACUCCGUGCCAGCAGCCGCGGUAAGACGGGGGAUGCAAGUGUUAUCCGGAUUUACUGGGCGUAAAGCGUCUGCAGGUGGUUUCUUAAGUCUACUGUUAAAUCUUGAGGCUCAACCUCAAAUCUGCAGUAGAAACUAGGAGACUUGAGUAUAGUAGGGGUAGAGGGAAUUUCCAGUGGAGCGGUGAAAUGCGUAGAUAUUGGAAAGAACACCGAUGGCGAAGGCACUCUACUGGGCUAUUACUGACACUCAGAGACGAAAGCUAGGGGAGCAAAUGGGAUUAGAUACCCCAGUAGUCCUAGCCGUAAACGAUGGAU
rnacentral:rRNA from 1 species